rnacentral:rRNA from 1 species
AACGAACGCUGGCGGCGCGCCUAACACAUGCAAGUCGAACGAGAAUCCGGGGCAACCCGGUAGUAAAGUGGCAAACGGGUGAGGAAUACAUGGGUAACCUACCCUUGAGAAGGGAAUAACCCGCCGAAAGGUGAGCUAAUACCCUAUACGCUAUCUUUUUUCGUAAAGGAAUAGGAAAGACCGGGUCGGAGGACCUGGUACGUCAAGGAGGGGCGUCAUGUCCUAUCAGCUUGUUGGUGGGGUAACGGGCCUACCAAGGCUACGACGGGUAGCUGGUCUGAGAGGAUGAUCAGCCACACUGGCACUGAGAUACGGGCCAGACUCCUACGGGAGGCAGCAGUGAGGAAUAUUGCGCAAUGGGCGAAAGCCUGACGCAGCGACGCCGCGU